ACCAUGCAGCCGAGCGGUAUGAUUCUUUCGGGAAUCAGAGAGCGGCGUACGGGUGCGGAACACGUGUGCAACCUGCCUUUAUCUGGGGGAUAGCCUUUCGAAAGGAAGAUUAAUACCCCAUAAUAUAUUGAGUGGCAUCACUUAAUAUUGAAAACUCCGGUGGAUAGAGAUGGGCACGCGCAAGAUUAGAUAGUUGGUGGGGUAACGGCCUACCAAGUCGAUGAUCUUUAGGGGGCCUGAGAGGGUGAUCCCCCACACUGGUACUGAGACACGGACCAGACUCCUACGGGAGGCAGCAGUGAGGAAUAUUGGACAAUGGGUGCAAGCCUGAUCCAGCCAUCCCGCGUGAAGGACGACGGCCCUAUGGGUUGUAAACUUCUUUUGUACAGGGAUAAACCUAGAUACGUGUAUCUAGCUGAAGGUACUGUACGAAUAAGCACCGGCUAACUCCGUGCCAGCAGCCGCGGUAAUACGGAGGGUGCAAGCGUUAUCCGGAUUUAUUGGGUUUAAAGGGUCCGUAGGCGGAUCAGUAAGUCAGUGGUGAAAUCUCAUAGCUUAACUAUGAAACUGCCAUUGAUACUGCUGGUCUUGAGUAAGGUAGAAGUAGCUGGAAUAAGUAGUGUAGCGGUGAAAUGCAUAGAUAUUACUUAGAACACCAAUUGCGAAGGCAGGUUACUAUGUCUUAACUGACGCUGAUGGACGAAAGCGUGGGGAGCGAACAGGAUUAGAUACCCUGGUAGUCCACGCUGUAAACGAUGCUAACUCGUUUUUGGGUUUUCGGAUUCAGAGACUAAGCGAAAGUGAUAAGUUAGCCACCUGGGGAGUACGAAACGCAAGUUUGAAACUCAAAGGAAUUGACGGGGGCCCGCACAAGCGGUGGAUUAUGUGGUUUAAUUCGAUGAUACGCGAGGAACCUUACCAAGGCUUAAAUGGGAAUUGAUCGGUUUAGAAAUAGACCUUCCUUCGGGCAAUUUUCAAGGUGCUGCAUGGUUGUCGUCAGCUCGUGCCGUGAGGUGUUAGGUUAAGUCCUGCAACGAGCGCAACCCCUGUCACUAGUUGCCAUCAUUAAGUUGGGGACUCUAGUGAGACUGCCUACGCAAGUAGAGAGGAAGGUGGGGAUGACGUCAAAUCAUCACGGCCCUUACGCCUUGGGCCACACACGUAAUACAAUGGCCGGUACAGAGGGCAGCUACACAGCGAUGUGAUGCAAAUCUCGAAAGCCGGUCUCAGUUCGGAUUGGAGUCUGCAACUCGACUCUAUGAAGCUGGAAUCGCUAGUAAUCGCGCAUCAGCCAUGGCGCGGUGAAUACGUUCCCGGCCCCUGUACCCCCGCCCGUCAAGCCAUGGAAGUCUGGGGUACCUGAAGUGCGGUGACCGUAAAAGGAGCUGCC
rnacentral:rRNA from 1 species